CGGCCGGGGAUUAGUGGCGAACGGGUGAGUAACACGUGGGCAAUCUGCCCUGCACUCUGGGACAAGCCCUGGAAACGGGGUCUAAUACCGGAUACGACAUGGGAAUGCAUGUUCCUGUGUGGAAAGCUCCGGCGGUGCAGGAUGAGCCCGCGGCCUAUCAGCUAGUUGGUGGGGUAGAGGCCUACCAAGGCGACGACGGGUAGCCGGCCUGAGAGGGCGACCGGCCACACUGGGACUGAGACACGGCCCAGACUCCUACGGGAGGCAGCAGUGGGGAAUAUUGCACAAUGGGCGAAAGCCUGAUGCAGCGACGCCGCGUGAGGGAUGACGGCCUUCGGGUUGUAAACCUCUUUCAGCAGGGAAGAAGCUUUCGGGUGACGGUACCUGCAGAAGAAGCACCGGCUAACUACGUGCCAGCAGCCGCGGUAAUACGUAGGGUGCGAGCGUUGUCCGGAAUUAUUGGGCGUAAAGAGCUCGUAGGCGGCUUGUCACGUCGGUUGUGAAAGCCCGGGGCUUAACCCCGGGUCUGCAGUCGAUACGGGCAGGCUAGAGUUCGGUAGGGGAGAUCGGAAUUCCUGGUGUAGCGGUGAAAUGCGCAGAUAUCAGGAGGAACACCGGUGGCGAAGGCGGAUCUCUGGGCCGAUACUGACGCUGAGGAGCGAAAGCGUGGGGAGCGAACAGGAUUAGAUACCCUGGUAGUCCACGCCGUAAACGGUGGGAACUAGGUGUGGGCGACAUUCCACGUCGUCCGUGCCGCAGCUAACGCAUUAAGUUCCCCGCCUGGGGAGUACGGCCGCAAGGCUAAAACUCAAAGGAAUUGACGGGGGCCCGCACAAGCGGCGGAGCAUGUGGCUUACUUCGACGCAACGCGAAGAACCUUACCAAGGCUUGACAUACACCGGGAAAACCGUGGAGACACGGUCCCCCUUGUGGUCGGUGUACAGGUGGUGCAUGGCCUGUCGUCAGCUCGUGUCGUGAGAUGUUGGUUUAAGUCCCGCAACGAGCGCAACCCAUUAUCCCU
rnacentral:rRNA from 1 species